ensembl:lncRNA
CUGACAGCGUAGCUUUCAGAUUCCUGACACCUGGGAACUGGGCGCCAUGGUGACAGACGGUACUAAGUCAGCUUCAUGUCACUUGGUGUGUGUGUAGGGGUCUGUGUGUGUGUGUGUGUGUGUGUGUGUGUGUGUGUGUGUGUAAAAGGGUGUGUGUGUGUGUGUGUGUGUGUGUGUAUAUGUGCGUGUGUGCACAUAGAUGCAUGUGUGCGCACACAGUUUCCCUCCGAGACUUGAAUGUCAGUCACCUUGGUGUGUUGACAUAGUGUCCAAUAACCUUUCCGUUGGGUCUUGCGUAUUUCUCCAUCCGUGAACAGUGUUCCGGACUAAUGUGUUUUUCUGUCCAACUCUAACCAUCUGUACCGGCGCAAAUUUAUAGCCUACUGAGGCCCUGAUUGACAGGCUUAUUAUGGAGCUAUAGAUUGUCCCCGUGGCGUCACUACGGAAACGGGGCGUGUGGGCAUACGGUGUGCACUAGCGCGGACCACUCUCUUGUGCGUGUCACAGGGGGCGAGUGGGACCCAGGCCACUCUUCUGUCCGGCACUAUUGUCCGUCCACAAAAGGAUAUUAAGACUAAUAGGAAUAGUAAUUCCAUUAUUUCCAUUGGGUAUAACUGAAUGACACGACGGGAUUAAUGGGAAGCAAAGAAUGAGAUUCAUUCUCACAGGCCGAAUGUCUUAGGCUUGUAACGUUGUAUUUUAUUGCAUCAUUGAAACAUUAAUAUUAUUUUCAACACGUUAAUUCUGUGAUGACUUAUUCAUACAGAGAGAAGGUUUGUAUACCUCUGGUGAGGAUAUAGGGCUUUAUUGUUUUUGCAUGGUGAUGCUAACAGUUCAUAUGAAGAUUUACAUUGUGUUUUUAUUUUUCUGCUGAUGUGGGAAUUUGUGUGCUCAUUUACGUAUAUAUGUAUAUCGAGCAAUUUAUAUUGAGUGUCAUAGAUCUACUGGGUUGACAAAAAAAUACAGAUACUGUAUUUCCUUUGCCUAUUCAUCGAUGUGCUAUUCUUUGAUUACCUCAACAAAUUAACUUCAGAAUAACAGUGUCUGUUGCUAAUAUGACAUUGAACACAUCUGAAAUCAUAAUCUCUAAAAUUUAAAAUACUUUCAGAUUAAAUCGAUUUGUUAAUAAAAUAUCAUCACUAACCCUAUUUUAGUGAGCUUUUGGUUGUUGCAAUUAUAUCAUCAUAAUAUUAAUAAACAUCCAAUCCAUACUGCAUCCAAUCAAACCAUCUCACUGAGCAAAUAAUGAGGAAGUUGAUUGUUCCCUGGGUCACAGUAGUGUCAUAUAAAAGGCAAAGUUAUUUAUUUAUUUAUCAAUUUUCACUCUGACUUACAACUAUAGAGUCAGACCUUUUUUUUCGUGCAUCGUCCUGAUAAUAAUGAUGUUAAAUAAGUAAGAAGAGGACCAAGUUCCCACAUGAAUCAUAGGUGGGUUUGGCCCUGCUUACACCCUCUCGCUGAAGCACUUCCUCUAUAUCUGGGACAUAUUAGUACUGGUUGUUUUGUCCCUGUUUGUUUUAACACCCCCCUAUUUACUGCUCAAUACUUUUCAUUUAACUGAUAUUUUUGGCGAAUGGUGCCUCGCUUAAAGUGUUGCUACCGUAAUCAAUUGUGGGAAGCAUUAUCUCCUUUCCUUUCACAAAGGAGGUCAUACCCUACGCUAG